UACGUAGGGUCCGAGCGUUGUCCGGAAUUACUGGGCGUAAAGAGCUCGUAGGUGGUUUGUCGCGUUGUUCGUGAAAACUCACAGCUCAACUGUGGGCGUGCGGGCGAUACGGGCAGACUGGAGUAUUGCAGGGGAGACUGGAAUUCCUGGUGUAGCGGUGGAAUGCGCAGAUAUCAGGAGGAACACCGGUGGCGAAGGCGGGUCUCUGGGCAGUAACUGACGCUGAGGAGCGAAAGCGUGGGGAGCGAACAGG
rnacentral:rRNA from 1 species